UCUCCGGCAACGAAGGGGGUGUUUUUUUUCCAGAUACGAUUAUCUCGGAUUGAGAUAUUGAUACAUGCCAAUACAGAGCUUAGUUGGAUGAUAAUGGCUACUCCAGCAUCUGUGAAACAAAGAGCCUGUGAUUUUGAUGAUGAUGAUGAUGAUGGGCCCAUAGUUUUUAAAAGGGGUAGCAACUCAACUUCUAAGCAAAAUCAAUUUAACACAGAAAUAAAGAAACCCCUAUCAUCAUCACAGAACUCCAAUUGUCAAAGCUUAAAUGUCCAGAAG
rnacentral:misc_RNA from 1 species